rnacentral:rRNA from 1 species
GAUGAACGCUGGCGGCGUGCCUAAUACAUGCAAGUCGAACGAGGUGCUUUUGUAGCAAUACGAGAGUAUCCUAGUGGCGAACGGGUGAGUAACGCGUUGGUGACCUACCCCAAAGUGUGGGACAACAGUCCGAAAGGAUUGCUAAUACCGCAUGUGGUCAUUGGAUUUAGAAACUGAUGACUAAAGGAGCAAUUCGCUUUGGGAGGGACCUGCGUCCCAUCAUCUAGUUGGUGAGGGAAUGGCUCACCAAGGCGACGACGGUGAGGGGACCUGAGAGGGUGACCCCCCACAAUGGAACUGAAACACGGUCCAUACACCUACGGGUGGCAGCAGUAGGGAAUAUUGCUCAAUGGGCGAAAGCCUGAAGCAGCAACGCCGCGUGUGUGAUGAAGGCCUUCGGGUCGUAAAGCACUUUUCUGGGAGAUGAGAAAGGACAGUAUCCCAGGAAUAAGUCUCGGCUAACUACGUGCCAGCCGCCGCAGUAACAC